GACGAACGCUGGCGGCGUGCCUAACACAUGCAAGUCGAACGAAGCACUGUGGAUAGAGACUUCGGUCAAUUGAAGCUUUGACUUAGUGGCGGACGGGUGAGUAACGCGUGAGGAACCUGCCUUUCAGAGGGGGACAACAGUUGGAAACGACUGCUAAUACCGCAUGACACAGCGAGAUCGCAUGGUCUUGCUGUCAAAGAUUUAUCGCUGAAAGAUGGCCUCGCGUCCGAUUAGCUGGUUGGUGAGGUAACGGCCCACCAAGGCGACGAUCGGUAGCCGGACUGAGAGGUUGAACGGCCACAUUGGGACUGAGACACGGCCCAGACUCCUACGGGAGGCAGCAGUGGGGAAUAUUGCACAAUGGGGGAAACCCUGAUGCAGCGACGCCGCGUGGAGGAAGAAGGUCUUCGGGAUUGUAAACUCCUGUUGUUGGGGAAGAUAAUGACGGUACCCAACAAGGAAGUGACGGCUAACUACGUG
rnacentral:rRNA from 1 species